AACGUCGUCUGUCCCCGUCCGUGAGGUUCAGUUCAGCGGUUUGCUUAUCGAUGGCGUGCCUGUACGUCUUUGUAUGGAAGGGAUACGUAGAUACAGAGAACCCGUUUCACACCCCCCAGUUGGAUCUGAU
rnacentral:ribozyme from 1 species